GAGAGAAGAACAGACGCCCUCAGGCAACCUACACGCAGAGGCGGGUCCAAAUCCAAAGCUGAAACACUGGAGCUGUGCAAACAAAGAAGAGAAAGGGAAGUCUCUCCCAACAGACUCAGGAGCAGCGGAUUAAAUCUCCACAAUCCACUUGAUGUACCCUGCAUCUGUGGAAUACCUGAAUAGACAACAAAUCAUCCCAAAUUGAGGAGGUGGACUUUGGGAGCAACUAUAUAUAUAUUUUUUCCUUUUUUCUCUUUGUGAGUGUGUAUUUGUAUGCUUCUGUGUGUGUUUUGUCUGUAUAGCUUUGCUUUUACCAUUUGUCCUAGGGUUCUGUCUGUCCAUUUUUUUCUUUUUUCAUUUUUUUUAAUACUUAAAAUUUUUUAAAUUAUUUUUAUAACUUUAUUUUAUUUUCUUCUUUUUUUCUUUCUUUUUUCCCUUUUAUUCUGAGCCAUGUGGAGGACAGGCUCUUGGUGCUCCAGCCAGGUAUCAGGGCUGUGCCACUGAAGUGGGAGAGCCAAGUUCAGGACACUGGUCCACAAGAGACCUCCCAGCUCCAAGUAAUAUCAAACAGAGAAAAUCUCCCAGAGAUCUCCAUCUCAACGCCAAGACCCAGCUCCACUCAACGACCAGCAAGCUACAGUGCAGGACAACCUAUGCCAAACAACUAGCAAGACAGGAACACAACCCUAUCCAUUAGCACGGAGGCUGCCUAAAAUCAUAAUAAGGCCACAGACACCCCAAACACACCACCAGACGUGGACCUGCUCACCAGAAAGACAAGAUCCAGCCUCAUCCACCAGAACACAGGCACUAGUCCCCUCCACCAGGAAGCCUACACAACCCACUGAACCAACCUUAGCCACUGGGGACAGACAACAAAAACAACAGAAACUACGAACCUGCAGCCUGCGAAAAGGAGACUCCAAACACAGUAAGUUAAGCACAAUGAGAAGACAGAGAAACACACAGCAGAUGAAGGAGCAAGGCAAAAACCCACCAGACCUAACAAAUGAAGGGGAAAUAGGCAAUCUACCUGAAAAAGAAUUCAGAGUAAUGACAGUAAAGAUGAUCCAAACUCUUGGAUAUAGAACGGAGAAAAUACAAGAAACGUUUAACAAGGACCUAGAAGAACUAAAGAACAAACAAACAGAGAUGAACAGCACAAUACAUGAAAUUAAAAAUUCUCUAGAAGGGAUCAAUAGCAGAAUAACUGAAGCAGAAGAACGGAUAAGUGACCUGGAAGAUAAAAUAGUGGAAAUAACUACUGCAGAGCAG
rnacentral:lncRNA from 1 species